rnacentral:rRNA from 1 species
GUGCCAGCCGCCGCGGUAAUACCGGCAGCUCGAGUGAUGGCCGAUUUUAUUGGGCCUAAAGCGUCCGUAGCCGGCCGUACAGGUCCGUCGGGAAAUCCGCCCGCUUAACGGGCGGACGUCCGGCGGAAACCAUACAGCUUGGGACCAGAGGACCCGAGGGGUACGUCGGGGGUAGGAGUGAAAUCCCGAGAUCCUCGACGGACCGCCGGUGGCGAAAGCGCCUCGGGAAGACGGACCCGACAGUGAGGGACGAAAGCUGGGAUCUCCAACCGGAUUAGAAACCCCGGUAGUCC